AGAAUCACUACUAAUAACUGUUUGCAUAAUAUAUUUACUUAAUAUCUUUUCAGGAUAGUUAGUCAAGAGAAGACAAUGCUUAAAACUGAGCACCGGGCCUAAACUGAAGUGCCUUGAGGAGUAGGUGAAAGAUGCUACAACAAAGAACAUCCCUUAUAAUCAUUUAAAUUGAACUUGGAUUGCCUAAAGAAUGAGAAAAGGAAACUAGUUUGAAUGGGACCACAGGCGGACUUGAAUCUAUCCUUAGAAUAACUCCAGAUGAUUCCCCUUUAUCAGUGAAGGCAUUCAAGAAUUGUCUUCUUUUGCUUCCAAAACUGUGUGUACUCUGGGAGUGCAGAUUAUUCUGAACACAGUAAAAAUUCUGCUUUACAUUUAUCUAUGGCCUGGAAGGAAAUGCUACAAACAUUGUGCAAUUGGGAAGGCGGCCAGGUCCCGGACGAACUCCUGCGGGUUCACGUCUUCACCACGACUCCGGGCACCGCGCGAGGUCCAAGCGGCCAGCCGGGGAGAGAGAGAAACGGGGCUUCCUAGCCGCACAAAAGGGGAACAAAACCUCGCGAGAGCCGCUAGUCCCGCCCACCAAUGGUAAAUUUCUAAUCACUACUAAGUCUUCUCUAUCAAUCAAUUAACAAAAAUUUAUUUAGAACU
rnacentral:lncRNA from 1 species